GAUGAACGCUGACAGAAUGCUUAACACAUGCAAGUCAACUUGAAUUUGGGUUUUUAACUUAGAUUUGGGUGGCGGACGGGUGAGUAACGCGUAAAGAACUUGCCUCACAGCUAGGGACAACAUUUAGAAAUGAAUGCUAAUACCUGAUAUUAUGAUUUUAAGGCAUCUUAGAAUUAUGAAAGCUAUAAGCACUGUGAGAGAGCUUUGCGUCCCAUUAGCUAGUUGGAGAGGUAACAGCUCACCAAGGCGAUGAUGGGUAGCCGGCCUGAGAGGGUGAACGGCCACAAGGGGACUGAGACACGGCCCUUACUCCUACGGGAGGCAGCAGUGGGGAAUAUUGGACAAUGGACCGAGAGUCUGAUCCAGCAAUUCUGUGUGCACGAUGAAGUUUUUCGGAAUGUAAAGUGCUUUCAGUUGGGAAGAAAGAAAUGACGGUACCAACAGAAGAAGUGACGGCUAAAUACGUGCCAGCCGCCGCGGUAAUACGUAUGUCACGAGCGUUAUCCCGGAUUUAUUGGGGCGUAAAGGGCGUCUAGGUGGUUAUGUAAGUCUGAUGUGAAAAUGCAGGCUCAACUUCUGUUUUGCGUUGGAAAACUGUAUAACUAGAGUAUUGGAGAGGUAAGCCGGACCUACCAGUUAGAGUUAAAUUUGUGCAUAUUUGGCGGAAUUGCCGAGGGGAAAGCAGGCUUAUUGGACAGUUCUGGCGCUUAGGGGCGGAAGGGGGGGGAGGAAAAAAGGUUAGAAACCCUGGACGCCAAGGGCGAUUUCCCGGGGGUUUUAUGUGUUGGGGCCGGGCGGCCCCGGCCCCCCCCCCUCUUAUUUUUUUUUUGCUGCCCGGCUCCCUAUCUCCUUUAGGGAAAAA
rnacentral:rRNA from 1 species